rnacentral:rRNA from 1 species
AUACGGAGGAUGCGAGCGUUAUCCGGAUUUAUUGGGUUUAAAGGGAGCGUAGGCGGGAGCUUAAGUCAGCGGUUAAAUGGUGCGGCUCAACCGUGCCCUGCCGUUGAAACUGGGUUCCUUGAGAGUGCAAGAGGCGGAUGGAAUUCAUGGUGUAGCGGUGAAAUGCUUAGAUAUCAUGAAGAACUCCGAUUGCGAAGGCAGUCCGCUGGGGCACGUCUGACGCUGAUGCUCGAAGGUGCGGGAAUCAAACAGGAUUAGAUACCCUGGUAGUCCGCACGGUAAACGAUGAUUACCCGCUGUCGGCGGUAGACAGUCGGCGGCCAAGCGAAAGCGAUAAGUAAUCCACCUGGGGAGUACGCCGGCAACGGUGAAACUCAAAUGAAUUGACGGGG